rnacentral:lncRNA from 1 species
AGAGAGUGGCCAUGCGCUCGCAGCGCGCGCUCACUGGGUCUUGUGGUUUCCGGUCUGGUCCAAUCACCGCGCGAGGAGCAGAGCUCGUCUCAUUCAAACACAAACAGUCUGAACGCGUUCUCCUCCUGGACGGAACCAUGCGGUUCCCCGGUUCGGUUCUGGUCUUCGUUCUGCUCGUUUUCUACGUUUCCGGGUCAUCAGGUUCCCUGGUGGCCCGAUCUGUGUUUGCCCACACUGGCUUGAGUGGACAAUCAGUGGUCCGGGUAGUGGAGAUCGCUAACUCGCUACGCUUUCCACCAGGCGGCUGGUUAGCAUCAGGACCCAGACAAAGCUGAUGUAGGGGCCACCAUGGAAUCCGCGGACAAACCCACCUGGGGACCAACAAUUCAGCCCAAAGCUAAACCAAACGGGGCCCAGAUUGAAAUGUUCACUGUAGUACUCGCGUGUUUGAAGUCUGACCUGAAAAUGUGUGUAUACUAGCGGUACACACGUGGAGCACAUGACUAAAGUGUUGAUUAUCAAAGAUGCAGAUCUGAAGAUCAUCACUGCUGCACCUGGAGAGGAUGUCAUUCUGACAUUUGAAGCUCCAGAAAACAUGAUAGCUUUGGAGUGGACCAGACUCGACUUCCAGGAGGGAGAAUAUGUGUUUGUAUACAGGAAUGGUGGUAUUAAUCUAGACGAGCAGCAUGAAUCCUUCAAGAAUCGAGUGUUUCUGAAUAUCAGUCAGAUGAAGAAUGGAGAUCUGUCUGUGGUUCUGAAGAACGUGACGGUUAAUGACAGCGGAACAUACCAGUUUUCAGGCAUACGAGAGCAUGAUCCAGAUAGAGAAAUGAUUCCGAUUGGCAGAGUCCGUCUGUCGGUGAUUCCUCCAGGGGACAAAGAUGAAGUCGGUCAUGGUCGUCUUGGUCUGAUCCCUCUGUCAGGUCUCCUACUUCUUACUUUUGUUGUCCUUGCUGUUGGUCUCUGGAUCUGCUGGACAAAAAAAGAUUCUAACCAAAGUUCCACAGGUUCCAACAACCAGCGGGGUGUUGAACUUGUGCCUCUUAACUCAGAUUCUAAAGCAGACGAAAGCAUGGCAGUUUCUCUAGUCUGA